CGGAGCAGCCACGGCGCAAACUCUCUACCUUUCCGCGCAGGACCGACGGCGGCGUCGGCGGCGCAGCGAGUGGAGCGACGGCGUCUCCCGCCGGCCACGUGCGUCGCUGGGUGGGGCAGCGGGCGGUGAGCAGCUCGCCGCAAAGCUCUGUUUCCGGGGAGGAGCUGCGUCGGAGCUUGCCGCAAACUCUGUUUCUGGGGUGGCGCAGCGGCAGCGUCGUCUUGGUGCGGUGGCGACUCCGUGAGGCCUCCGGUGCAAGCCCAGGUUUGUCAUGUCGACGUUCGCCGGUGUAUCCGUCCUCGACGGCGACAAGCCGUGCUCUUGCGUAACGUCGGGCGUCGGCGCCGGUGCUGGCGCGAGCAGCGUGUACCACCUGCUCGUGGUCAAGGGCUACUCUGGUAUCAAAAAGGAGCUGCCCAACGGCGAGAGCUGGUGCACUGAAUUGUUCAGGGUGGAAGGCCAUGAGUAUUCCAUCGAGUACUAUCCUAAUGGCGCAAACCCCAACUGUGCCGACUUCAUUUCGCUCGAUAUUACCCGCCUCUACGACGAAGAUGUCGAAGAGGGUGUGGAGGCCAAGUUCAGUUUCAGCCUCGUCGACGACGUCGAGAAGCAGAUGCCGACGUACAUUCGUGCGACUCGUAAAACCCGUGACUUCCGCAGAUGUGAUCCUUGUUGGGGUUGCGACAAGUUCAUGAGAAGAGAUGCCCUUGAGCGAUCGGCCAGUCUAAAGUCUGAUUGUUUCACCAUCCGGUGUGAUAUUGUGGUGUGCAAGGACAACACCCCAGACGCCACCGGCUCCGGCACCAGCACCGGCACCGAGGUUCUUCUGCCUGACAUACACCAACAUUUUAGCAACCUCCUUCAGAAUAAGGUGGGUGCUGAUGUGACAUUCGAGGUCGGCGGCGAGACGUUCGCUGCACACCGGUGUGUGCUCGCUGCCAGGUCCGAAGUGUUCAUGGUGCAGCUCUUUGGCACCGCUAUGCCCAGCGUCAUACAGAUCACAGAUAUGGAAGCAAAAGUGUUCAGGGCUUUGCUUUGCUUCAUCUACACAGACUCGUGUCCUGAGAUGGAGAAGAACAGCAUGGAGGAGGAUGAAAUGCCAGGAGUUGUGGAACAAGGACAAGUAGAGGAAGUACUGGAGAAUAAAACGUCAGAAGUUGUGGAACAAACACAAGAAGAGGCGGUAGAGGAUGAAAUUCUUCUGCAAUGGCUGCAGGAUUUGUUUGUGGCGGCAGACAGAUACAAUCUCCAGCGGCUCAAGUUCAUCUGUGAAAAGCAGUUGUGUGAGCAUGUAGGUGUGAGCUCGGUGGCGUCCACUCUUGCUCUAGCCGAGCAGCACCACUGCCAUGGAUUGAAGGCGGCGUGCUUGAAGUUUAUCCAAGUCCUAUCUCCCUCGCGUUUGCAGGCACUAAUGGCAACUGAUGGAUGGGGGCAUAUAGCAACGACAUACCCCUCUGUUUUGUACGAGCUCAUUGCCAUCCUUGCGUCAAACCAGCGGAAAUGACACUCUGGUAUGCAUGUUCUUCAAGUGACACUCUUUUGUAUCCUCUAUAGAUAUCGUAGUUUGUGUGCUCUGCUUUUAAUUGUCUCCUCGUGUAAUUUGCAUGAAUGCUGAAUCAGAAAACCCCAACAUAUGGGCAUAUUGUCUCUUCAUGCAAUUGCAAUGGAUGGUCUGUAAAUUCAGUGUACCUUUGUGCCUCCCCUGUCAUUUAAUACCCUUUUCUAGUGGUUAUCAAGAAGAACAAAUGUUUGAAGUUUUUUGGAAAGGGAUUUUUAUGAACCUGAAUUUAGUGGAAACAAACAAGAUUGAAGACAAGACAGGUCACCAAGAAUUUCGGUUGCCGUGACAGGCGUGGUGUGAAAUCUUGAUCCUGUACCAAAAAAAUGACUUCUCCUUUAUGCUUGUUGUUCUCCUCAGAUGGGACAAAAAAAUGACUUCCGUUGUGGUGUAUUUGGAAGCACAGAUGAUGAUUGAUUGCUGUCAGUUAGCUACUGUAAUAGACAAUGAGUUGAUGAUGAAAAAACCCGCUUGCUUUGCCA